rnacentral:rRNA from 1 species
CAGACGAUGCGUCAUGCAUAUCAAUAAGCGGAGGAAAAGAAACUAACAAGGAUUCCCCUAGUAACGGCGAGUGAAGCGGGAAGAGCUCAAAUUUGAAAUCUUAAAGGGUUUCCCUUUACGAAUUGUAGUUUAAAGAAGUGUUUUCUGUUGAGGUUUUGGUAAAAGUUCUUUGGAAUAGGACAUCAUAGAGGGUGAGAAUCCCGUAUUUGACCUUUACUUUCAACUUUGUGAUACACUUUCAAAGAGUCGGAUUGUUUGGGAAUGCAGUCCAAAAUGGAUGGUAAAUUUCAUCUAAAGCUAAAUAUUGGCGAGAGACCGAUAGCGAACAAGUACCGUGAGGGAAAGAUGAAAAGAACUUUGAAAGGAGAGUUAAACAGUACGUGAAAUUGUCAAAAGGGAAGCGUUUGACACCAGUGUUGUUUUUCUGAAAAUCAAUUAAAGAACUGUUUAGUGCUAAGUUGUUUAGACUUUAUCAGCUUAACUGUUUAGUUUUGAGCUUUUCUUUAAUGCACUUUUCAGUUAACAAGUCAACAUCAAUUUCUUUUGCUGUAAAAAAGCUUGAGGAAGGUGGCUUGAGAUUCGUCUUAAGUGUUUAUAGCCUCUUGCCUAUGCAGUCGGAGAGAUUGAGGUCUGCAGCGUAGAUCCUUCGGGGCUAAAUGCAUUUGUGCUAAGUUAUAGCAUUUUAUAGACAACUUGUUGACUAUGAUUUGUCUUGUAGCUUACUCGCUUAUGUUAUUUUACCUACGCUUAGGAUGUUGAAUCUGUGCGAGACUAC